rnacentral:lncRNA from 1 species
UGUGUUGUUUCCUACUUAUUAUUUGUAACUGUUGGUGCAAAUGCUUUUUGGUUUUAUGAGUCUUUGGUUACUCCUUGGUUUUGAUUGUUAUUGUCUUAUACACGAUACCUAAUGAUGUAUUUAUAUGAUAUAAUCUUAUUAUUACACUUGCAUAUAUGAUCGAAUAACACGUGACAAGAAGGUUUCAUAUGAAAUAAAAUUUAAAAAAUAAAAUCCUCCCACCCGCCCCAUUUUUUUCAAAAAUUUGGAUGAAAAUCUACUAAUUAAUUUUAGUUGGCCUUACAAUUUGUUUAUUUUUAUGUGAUGAAAUAAAUUGGAGAUCAAGAAACUUAAGAGGAUUUUUUUUAAUGUUUUCUAUGCCUGCUGAAUUGUACUUGUAAGUAAUCUUCUGUCUCAUUUACUUUGAAGGUUUGGUUUCAAUUUCUUCUUCUGAACUUGUUAGAAUAUGGAUGUUAAUGUUUAGGUUUUACCUCUAUGUAUUGUACUGUGAUUGUAAUUUAUACCAUGGGAAACCAGAGCUUUUGAUGUUAUAUUUGUAAGACUGAUUUUUGUCAGUCAUAUAACAUGCAGUGUUCAAAAUAUAUCAUUAAGAUUUUUUUUUAUUUAUGAUAGAAAAAUCUGUGAAGAUGACUGUUUGAAAGUCCUUCUCAUUGAAAUACAUGUAAAUGACAAAAGAAAAUGAUUUCUAGUGAUGGUAGCUUUAAAACACUUUAUCUUACAAUCAACUUCUUAUUCAGGAAGCAUGUAGUAAAUUGUUAAAUUACUAUUAAGUAGGAAACAUUUAAAUUUCUACUAACAAUAGAAUAGGAUGAUUUAUUAUUAUACCUUUAUAGCUGUUUUUGUGAUGAAUUUGUCUUCCUUAUAAGUUUAGACAUGGAAUGAAGUGUUGAUAUAAUAAUUCCAUGGCUUUAGAUGACUAUGUUUAACGCUGUAGUGGUCCUCUGAUAAGAAUAUAUUUAAUAAGGAAGUAAUUAAUAGUAAUGUAAUGGAUAUCAAGUCAACAAUAAUAUGAAGUGUAGUUGAUACAAAAAGAUUGUUUAAGUAAUUAUAAUAAAAAAAGAGGAAGUUCUUUCAUCUGCAUUGAACUUUAAAUUGUGAGUUAAACAAUAUAUUUGUCAGUUAUUUUCCUUGUGUAAGAAUGUUUAAAUCUUUCUAUGUAAACCUGGACUAAACACAAACACAGUAGUUGAUGGUGUACAGUAGUUGGUUUUUAAGUCAUGAGUACUAAUUUGGGAGAGUUUUUGUUGUUGUUGUUAAAACAUUCCACCUUUACAAAUGACCUGUAGAUAGUUUGUUGUUGUUUUAUUUCCAUAGCCAAGUUAAAAAUAUCCUUCAUUAUUCAAAAAUAAAAAAUAAAUCUUUGCAGCUUUAAAGUUUGUUCUAGUAGUCUUUGAAUAGUUGAUGCCUACCGACACAUUAUUGACAUGUUUUACUGAUUCCGAAAUAAAAUGAAAAAUAAAAAUCUCUCAUGUAUACUGUUUCAUUUGGUCAGAAAUGAAGUACAUAAACAAUUAUAACUGAUCUUGUGAUCAGUAUUACUCUAUAGGCAUACACAAUUAAGUAUAACUUGAGAACAAGUUUAGUUGUAAAGUUAUGACAACAUCAUUAUUUUAUAGCUUGCCAGGAAUACUUUUCGUGUCUUAUAUUAGAGAAUAGACUUAUUUUUUUCUUGCUUACAAUUGAUGGAAAUACUGGUCUUAUAGUGUGUUUACAAUGGGUGAUGGAACUUAGUUCUAAAUGGGUUAUCUCCCUUAUAACUAGAAUCAACUGGAUAAUAAAUCAAUUGUAAAGUAUAAUCAAUCAUGAAUUACAAAUGAGUUGUAUGUGUGUCUGAUACUUAAUUGUUAAGGUAAAUCUUGUGUACAGCUUAUUUGUAUAUCUUUAUGAGAGGUUUAACACAAAUAACACAACUAAUUUCUUUAAAAAAGAGAAAUUUAUGUUUGAUAAUGUAUUCCAAAGAAUUAUGUAAGCAGAAUCCCAAAAUGUAUUUAGGUUACUUCAUUACUGAUGAUUCUAAACAGUUUUUAUUCAAAUAAUGUAAAUUAUUAAUUUGAUUUAUUAUUUUUAUUAUUUAUAAUGUAAUACAAACAUGUUAUCCUGUAUAAUAUAAAUAACCUUAACAGCUUUUGUGAAUACUCAUUGCUUUAACUAACAUUUCUUCCAUUAAAGGAGUGUUCAGAUGUAAACAAAUGUUAUUUGUUGUGAGCUAGGUUUUCUUGUAUUAUUGAUUGUAUAUGGUAGGAAUAAAAUCAAAAUGAUGGCAAGACGAGUAACUCCAUUUACAUGCCUCCUGGGACGUUUUACCUUUGUAUGUAUGACAUUUCUAUUUUCACACCCAUUAUGUAUUUGAAGGAGUAAGUUUUUAACUUGGCUAGUAUUUGUUAUAGAUGCCAACAGAAUGACUUAAUUAAAUUGUUUUAUCACAUC